rnacentral:rRNA from 1 species
GACGAACGCUGGCGGCGUGCCUAAUACAUGCAAGUCGAGCGGACUGAUUAAGAGCUUGCUCUUAUGACGUUAGCGGCGGACGGGUGAGUAACACGUGGGCAACCUGCCCUGUAGAUCGGGAUAACACCGAGAAAUCGGUGCUAAUACCGGGUAAUAUCUGAGAUCACAUGAUCUUAGGUUAAAAGAUGGCUCCGGCUAUCACUACAGGAUGGGCCCGCGGCGCAUUAGCUAGUUGGUAAGGUAAUGGCUUACCAAGGCGACGAUGCGUAGCCGACCUGGGAGGGUGAUCGGCCACACUGGGACUGAGACACGGCCCAGACUCCUACGGGAGGCAGCAGUAGGGAAUCUUCCGCAAUGGACGAAAGUCUGACGGAGCAACGCCGCGUGAGUGAUGAAGGGGUUCGGCUCGUAAAGCUCUGUUGUUAGGGAAGAAACAGUACCGAACGAACUAGGUCGGUACCUUGACGGUACCUAACCAGAAAGCCACGGCUAACUACGUG